rnacentral:misc_RNA from 1 species
CAACCCUCAAGCACUGCUUGGUAUUGGGCCUCGUCUCUAUUGACGGGCCUUAAAUUUAGUGGCGGUGCCAUUAGGCUCUAAGCGUAGUAAUUUUCUCGCUAUGGACGUCUGGUGGAUACUUGCCAGCAACCCCCAAUUUUUACA